rnacentral:rRNA from 1 species
AUUGAACGCUGGCGGCAUGCCUUACACAUGCAAGUCGAACGGCAGCACGGGGGCAACCCUGGUGGCGAGUGGCGAACGGGGUGAGUAAUACAUCGGAAUGUACCCAGUAGUGGGGGGAUAACUAGUCGAAAGAUUAGCUAAUACCGCAUACGCACUAUGGUGGAAAGCGGGGGGAUCGCAAGACCUCGCGCUAUUGGAGCAGCCGAUGUCCGAUUAGGUAGUUGGUGGGGUAAAGGCCUACCAAGCCUGCGAUCGGUAACUGGUCUGAGAGGACGACCAGUCACACUGGGACUGAGACACGGCCCAGACUCCUACCGGGAGGCAGCAGUGGGGAAUUUUGGACAAUGGGGGAACCCUGAUCCAGCAAUGCCGCGUGUGUGACGAAGGCUC